UACAGAGGGUGCAAGCGUUGUUCGGAAUUAUUGGGCGUAAAGCGCACGUAGGCGGUUAAGAAAGUCCGAUGUGAAAGCCCUGGGCUCAACCCAGGAAGUGCAUUGGAUACUCCUUGACUUGAAUCUCGGAGAGGGUGGUGGAAUUCCCGGUGGAGAGGUGAAAUUCGUAGAUAUCGGGAGGAACACCAGUGGCGAAGGCGGCCACCUGGACGAAGAUUGACGCUGAGGUGCGAAAGCGCGGGUAGCAAACAGG
rnacentral:rRNA from 1 species